GAGUGAAGAUGAGAUUGAGAGGGAGGAGUAACAAAAAACCAAAAAUCUAUUUGAAAUUGCUUUCACUUUCACGUUUUUGUUUUCAUGUUUGUUACUCCUCCCUCUCAUCCUCUCCCUCAAUCU
rnacentral:miRNA from 1 species